AGUGAACGCUGGCGGUAGGCCUAACACAUGCCAGUCGAACGGCAGCACAGUAAGAGCUUGCUCUUACGGGUGGCGAGUGGCGGACGGGUGAGGAAUACAUCGGAAUCUACUUUUUCGUGGGGGAUAACGUAGGGAAACUUACGCUAAUACCGCAUACGACCUACGGGUGAAAGCAGGGGAUCUUCGGACCUUGCGCGAUUGAAUGAGCCGAUGUCGGAUUAGCUAGUUGGCGGGGUAAAGGCCCACCAAGGCGACGAUCCGUAGCUGGUCUGAGAGGAUGAUCAGCAACACUGGAACUGAGACACGGUCCAGACUCCAACGGGAGGCAGCAGUGGGGAAUAUUGGACAAGGGGCGCAAGCCUGAUCCAGCCAUACCGCGUGGUGAAGAAGGCCUUCGGGUUGUAAAGCCCUUUUGUUGGGAAAGAAAAGCAGCAGGUUAAUACCCCGCUGUUCUGACGGUACCCAAAGAAUAAGCACCGGCUAACUUCGUG
rnacentral:rRNA from 1 species